UUGCAUAAUUAACUAUGCAUUGGCAAUUCUUGGCACACACAUGAAGUAAUGCUAACUUGCUUGGGCAGCGGGAUGAACAGAAGUGUUUCAUUUUCAACGUAGAGGAGGAGCCAGACAACUGAACUAACUGCAGCUGGCAACUGGUCCUAAAUUCAUCAUGACUCCUUCCACCAUCGCCACUGAAAGGGGCCACCUCUAAAGUUUUUUGGCCAGCCCAUUUGUGUCCUCAAACUUUUUAUUUAAAAAAAAAUCAGAAACGUAUUGCCAGCAAAGAUCACCUAGAAGGAAGGAAGACAUUGGGAGGGGAAAAAUGGUUCCACUAUAGCUUAUGAAGAAAUUUAGAUCUAUCACACAUAGAGAGAAUCCCACAUUGCAAGAAACAAACUGAGAAGCUGAAGGGAAGAAAAAGAGGAAUGGCUUUAUAUCUUGCUGUAUAAGUUUAUCACAAUUUGUUUGCCAUUUUCAUCACCACCAGCUUAUUCUAUAAAUCCGCCCCUCUGCUCCAUGCUUUCUGUGACCUGGAACAAGUAGACUAGUUCACAUUCCUCUUCUGUAAGUUCACAUCAUUAGAUCCUUUCACAUCUUGUACAAGCAGCUCUGCUCCAGGAUUACUCAUUGCACCGUUAUAUCAUGAGACCUGUCCACCAUCCUUUCAUCGUUCUCUUCCGUACUCUCAGUUCUAUGUUCAUUAGCUACUUUUUCAUCCUCACUUCUAUCAGACCCCACCCAUUUGCCUCUCUGCCUUUAAGGCACCACUAACUAUAAUAUGUGAGCACUAGUCUUUAAGGCUUCUUAAUCCUCCCUUAACCACUUCAGACACUACAAAUUUACUGUG